rnacentral:lncRNA from 11 species
AGAUGGAAGGGCUGGGAAAGAUAGGAGAAUAAAUAUGUCACUUUCUAAAUUUCAUGCUGUAAGCCGUCUGCAGAGACGGUCCAACCGUCAGGCAAUUUAGGCAUUUGCCUGUGGCGCCACACCCCUGGGGGCGCUGUUGAGGCCCCCGGGGGGUGGCGCCACCCCCACCCCCCCCCCGCCUCCUUUACCUUCGGGACAGGCCUUCCAACCGCGGUCUGGCCCUUGCUGUCCCGGCCUGACUGCCUGGACCUUGCCACCAUGCAGCCAGGCUGCAUGGGAGGCAUGGCCACGCCUCCACGCUACCUGGCCACGCCUCCCACACCAUGCGGCCUGGCCACGCCCCCCAUGCCAAGACACCUCCUCCCAGGGCAACAGCAGGUCGCCAGGCCAUGCCCUCCGCAUGCAACAGGUCGGACAAAAACAGAUCAGAGCCUCAAUGAAGCCAAGACACAAAACAGAACAAGCUAAACCUCUCCCAAAUGGGCUGGCUGCAGUAUGGAGCAAAACAACAUGAACUCUACUAUCAAAAAUGGUUACAAAAGGCUGAAAACAUGUGAAAGAAUAGAAGACCCUAACAAUGCCUUCCAAACAGGUUUUUUUUUCUUUUUCAAGGAAAAAUUGAAGGUCUUGGGAAUUUAGUGCAGUAGUAAUAAAAAGCAAGAAAAAUGAAGCUAAUUUGCAUUUUAUUAUGUCUGUACUAUUGUGUAUCUUAAAAUUGCAUUUAAUUCUUUGCAAAGUCCUGAAAGUAUAUAUUCUCAAUCAUAGUUGAAGAUUUUUGUAUGCACUGCUGGAUUAUCUAUAUAUACAUUGUUCUUUCUGAAUAGCUUUAAAAUAUUUUUUUCAAUUUUCCUGCAUGCAUCUGAUAUCAAAUCUAUUCACAGU